rnacentral:rRNA from 1 species
AUAGAACGCUGGCGGAAUGCUUUACACAUGCAAGUCGAACGGUAGAGGGGGCAACCCCUCGAGAGUGGCGAACGGGUGAGUAAUAUAUCGGAACGUGCCCAGUCGUGGGGGAUAACGUAGCGAAAGUUACGCUAAUACCGCAUACGAUCUAAGGAUGAAAGCGGGGGAUCGCAAGACCCCGCGCGAUUGGAGCGGCCGAUAUCAGAUUAGGUAGUUGGUGGGGUAAAGGCUCACCAAGCCAACGAUCUGUAGCUGGUCUGAGAGGACGACCAGCCACACUGGAACUGAGACACGGUCCAGACUCCUACGGGAGGCAGCAGUGGGGAAUUUUGGACAAUGGACGCAAGUCUGAUCCAGCCAUUCCGCGUGCAGGAUGAAGGCCCUCGGGUUGUAAACUGCUUUUGUACGGAACGAAAAGGUCUCUCUUAAUACGGGGGACUCAUGACGGUACCGUAAGAAUAAGCACCGGCUAACUACGUGCCAGCCGCCGCCGUAA